rnacentral:lncRNA from 1 species
UGUGUGUGUGUGUGUGUGUGUGUGUAUAAUGCUAUUUUUAAGAUAUUGCAACCAAUAAAAAACUAUUAUCUAUAAAUCAAUUAAAAAAUGUACAAACCAAUGAUACCAAUGAAUAGUAGUAUUUAGUUUUAAAUUAUUUAAUUAUCGUUACAAUUCUUUCUUCUUAGAUCAUUAAUCGAGAGUGAGUUCAAGAAAAAUAUAUU